UACGGGGGGAGCAAGCGUUGUUCGGAUUUACUGGGCGUAAAGGGCGCGUAGGCGGCCACCGCAAGUCGACUGUGAAAUCUCCGGGCUUAACCCGGAAAGGUCAGCCGAUACUGCGGGGCUAGAGUGCAGAAGGGGCAACUGGAAUUCUCGGUGGUAGCGGUGAAAUGCGUAGAUAUCGAGAGGAACACCUGCGGCGAAGGCGGGUUGCUGGGCUGACACUGACGCUGAGGAGCGAAAGCCAGGGGAGCAAACGGG
rnacentral:rRNA from 1 species